ACUAUGAUUCUCACAGUAACUGCGAGUGAAGUGAGAAAAGCCCAACGUUAAAAGCCGUGUCUCUCACAGGACACUGCAUUGUAACGUAUAGAUACGUUCUCAAGAUAAAAGCCUAUGCUAAAGUUACAUAGAGAGGUACGCCACAGAGGGUGAUAGCCCCGUGUGUAGCAUAGGCGUUAAUUUUAUCAAGCAGACGUAAUCUAAGAGUCGUGUUGUUUGGGAUUGCAACAUAAAGUAGGUGGUAAACUUCACCUAAGGCUAAAUAUUGACACGAGACCGAUAGCAAACAAGUACCGUGAGGGAAAGUUGAAAAGAAUCCUGAAAAGGGAGUGAAAAGCACGUGAAACUGUUCAUGGGGAAGCAGACGGUAGAAUCGAAGCAUGUUAUUGAUUGCACAGCUAUAUUAAACCAUAGAGGUGUCUCUCAACAACACUGCGCGCUGAGCUUGUCGUAUUUUGUGCUUUUAUGCACAGUACAUACACGCCGGCUGUAAUAGUUUAAGAAUAGAGGUAUAAAAUCAUUUAUGCUAACACUUUUAAAUGUUACAGACCGCUAUAGGUGUAUAAUAUGACAUGGGCCAAUAAGAUAGGCGACUUAUGGAAGCAUUUAAUAGGAUAGUAUAGUGGAAAGUUGUUAAAUUACUGCUGUGCUAACUUGUUAAAUUGCCAAGUAGGUCAACUCUCAGCGAGAUAUGCUGCUGUC
rnacentral:rRNA from 1 species